rnacentral:rRNA from 1 species
UACAGAGGGUGCAAGCGUUGUUCGGAAUUACUGGGCGUAAAGCGUGCGCAGGCGGCUUCGCAAGUCAGGCGUGAAAGCCCCGGGCUUAACUUGGGAAUUGCGCUCGAAACUACUUUGCUGGAGUGUGGCAGAGGAAGGUGGAAUUCCACGUGUAGCGGUGAAAUGCGUAGAGAUGUGGAGGAACACCAAUGGCGAAGGCAGCCUUCUGGGCCAACACUGACGCUCAUGCACGAAAGCGUGGGGAGCAAACAGA